rnacentral:lncRNA from 1 species
AAAUUUAUUGAGAGAGAGAAAAAGCAGGACAUUGAAUAUAUAUUUCAAGCUGUCAUUUAUAUAUGGUGUGAUUGCCACUGUGACCAACGACUGAAUAAUGUACAGUGUAUGGGUCUGUAUGAUUUAUGAAGAAUGAGCAAGAUUCAUGAUUUUAUUGUACACUCUAAAAGUUUACACUGUUACAAGUGGCAAAACCCAAACAUGAGAGGCACCUCACCUGACAAAAUAGAAUGCAAAGAGCUAUCUGAUUGAUUGAAUGGUGUUUAACGACACUUCCCACACUGUUGUGCGAAUACAC